rnacentral:sRNA from 1 species
AAACCUCUUAUCUCAUCUCUUCUCAUCCCAUCUCUUCUCCCACCUCUCCUCUCCAUCUCUCCUCUCCAUCUCUCCUCUCCAUCUCCCUUCAUUAUCAUCUUCAUCAUCCAUCUCAAACUCUUCCUCUCGCUCUGUUUACCAUCAGCAUCGAGACAAGCUAGCUGUUACAAACAGUUAUCUUCUCUCCGUCUACAGUGUCGGGCCCCCUUUCCCCCUUAUUCAUCUCUAAGACCUUCAUUCCUCCAGCUUCAGUUUGCAGUUCUUUCGUUUAUCACUGUUGUUUCUAUAGCAUCCCUUUCUUCUACUCCUGCCAUUUGUUUCGUUGUAUUCCAACCCCGUCUGUUUUCUCUUUUUAACCCUUUUCAUUUUCGUCUGUUGUUUGUUGUCCCCUGGGCCCCUGCACCCACGGCCUCUUCUGGGUUUCUCCUCCGGAUCCAAAGGGCUUGUUUAGGUGCAGUAUUCUACCUACUUUUUAAAUCUCGUGCCUUAAACGAUCUACCUGUUGUUUUUCUCGCUUUGUGUUCGCUAACAUGGAUAUCUUGGAGAAGCUCGGUAUUAUCGCCGCAAAACCUGGUCUCAACGGGACGAUUUCUACCCCAACUAAUCAGAAAACCAAACUUGGGGAUAUGCAAACCCAAACUCAACAGCAGCAUCAUUCUGGUGAAGCUGGCCCUUCCCACGGACGGAACCCGGUUUACAAUCAAGAACAUCAGAACCGUUUCUAUCAGCAGGUCUCUCAGCCUACCGGC